UACGUAGGGUGCGAGCGUUAAUCGGAAUUACUGGGCGUAAAGUGUGCGCAGGUGGCCGCGCAAGUCGAGUGUGAAAUCCCCGAGCUUAACUUGGGAAUUGCGCUCGAAACUACGUGGCUAGAGUGUGGCAGAGGGAGGUGGAAUUCCACGUGUAGCGGUGAAAUGCGUAGAGAUGUGGAGGAACACCAAUGGCGAAGGCAGCCCCCUGGGCUAACACUGACGCUCAGGCACGAAAGCGUGGGGAGCAAACAGG
rnacentral:rRNA from 1 species